AAUAUGUAUCAAGGAGAGCUGUACAGUUAUGCCCACUAUUUGCAAAUUAUGUAUUUCAAAUACGUAAAGUUUAUUUGUCAAGACAUAAUUUGCAAAUAUUGGCCAUGGGCCUUAACUGUGGCUCAGAAACAAUCACAUUUUCACAUUGGUCAAGCAAAGCCAUUUUUAGGAGUCCUACAUGCAAAAGGACAUGCUUGGUAUUGUCAGGUAUUGUAUGGAGGGCGGUGGCAAGAAGGAAGUGGCAUGACUUUAGGGGAAGAGGCAGAGCAAGUGUUUGCAUACCUCUCACGAUACAACUCUACAACUAAAAACAUGCUGAAAGCUG